rnacentral:rRNA from 1 species
UGGCGAUCCUGCCCAGCCUGCGAGUCGAGAGGUUCGGCCCUCGGCGAACUGCUCAGUAACACGUGGAUAAUCUAACCUUAGGUAGAGCAUAACCUCGGGAAACUGAGAAUAAUACUCCAUAGAUCUUUGAGGCUGGAAUGCGCUUAGAUUGAAAGCUUCGGCGCCUAAGGAUGAGUCUGCGGACUAUCAGGUAGUAGUCAGGGUAAAGACCUGACUAGCCUACGACGGAUACGGGUUGUGAGAGCAAUAACCCGGAGAUGAUAUCUGAGACACGAUAUCAGGCCCUACGGGGCGCAGCAGGCGCGAAAACUUCACAAUGCGCGAAAGCGCGAUGAGGGGAUCCCAAGUGCUUGCACGUAAGUGUAAGCUGUUUUUCUGUCUAAAAAGCAGAGAGAGUAAGGGCUGGGUAAGACGGGUGCCAGCCGCCGCGGUAAUACCUGCAGCUCAAGUGGUGGCCGCUAUUAUUGGGCCUAAAACGUCCGUAGCCGGCUGAGUAAAUGCCUGGGUAAAUCGUGUGGCUUAACCAUACGAAUUCCGGGUAGACUGCUCAGCUUGGGACCGGAAGAAGUUAGAGGUACUCCUGGGGUAGGGGUGAAAUCCUGUAAUCCUGGGGGGGACCACCAGUGGCGAAGGCGUCUAACUAGGACGGGUCUGACGGUGAGGGACGAAGCCCCUGGGGCGCAAACCGGAUUAGAUACCCGGGUAGUCCAGGGUGUAAACGCUGCUUGCUUGAUGUUAGCUGGGCUCCGAGCUCGGCUAGUGUCGGAGAGAAGUUGUUAAGCAAGCUGCCUGGGAAGUACGGUCGCAAGACUGAAACUUAAG